GACGAACGCUGGCGGCGUGCUUAACACAUGCAAGUCGAACGAAGAGCGAUGGAAGCUUGCUUCUAUCAAUCUUAGUGGCGAACGGGUGAGUAACGCGUAAUCAACCUGCCCUUCAGAGGGGGACAACAGUUGGAAACGACUGCUAAUACCGCAUACGAUCUAAUCUCGGCAUCGAGGAUAGAUGAAAGGUGGCCCCUACAUGUAAGCUAUCACUGAAGGAGGGGAUUGCGUCUGAUUAGCUAGUUGGAGGGGUAACGGCCCACCAAGGCGAUGAUCAGUAGCCGGUCUGAGAGGAUGAACGGCCACAUUGGGACUGGGACACGGCCCAGACUCCUACGGGAGGCAGCAGUGGGGAAUCUUCCGCAAUGGACGAAAGUCUGACGGAGCAACGCCGCGUGAGUGAUGACGGCCUUCGGGUUGUAAAGCUCUGUUAAUCGGGACGAAAGGCCUUCUUGCGAAUAGGGAGAAGGAUUGACGGUACCGGAAUAGAAAGCCACGGCUAACUACGUG
rnacentral:rRNA from 1 species